rnacentral:rRNA from 1 species
UACGGGGGGAGCAAGCGUUGUUCGGAUUUACUGGGCGUAAAGGGCGCGUAGGCGGUCGUGACAAGUCACUUGUGAAAUCUCCGGGCUUAACCCGGAGCGGCCAAGUGAUACUGUCGUGCUAGAGUGCGGAAGGGGCUACUGGAAUUCUCGGUGUAGCGGUGAAAUGCGUAGAUAUCAAGAGGAACACCUGAGGUGAAGACGGGUUGCUGGGCUGACACUGACGCUGAGGCACGAAAGCUAGGGUAGCAAACGGG